rnacentral:rRNA from 1 species
CUGCACCUACGGGAGGCAGCAGUGAGGAAUAUUGGUCAAUGGGCGGAAGCCUGAACCAGCCAAGUCGCGUGAGGGAAUAAGGCCCUACGGGUCGUAAACCUCUUUUGCCGGGGAGCAAGGGCGGGGACGUGUCCCGGCCCGGAGAGUACCCGGAGAAAAAGCAUCGGCUAACUCCGUGCCAGCAGCCGCGGCAAUACGGAGGAUGCGAGCGUUAUCCGGAUUUAUUGGGUUUAAAGGGUGCGUAGGCGGGCUUUUAAGGCAGCGGUAAAAAGUC